GAACGCACCUUGCGCCCUUUGGCCAUUCCGAAGGGCAUGCCUGUUUGAGUAUCAUGAACACCUCAACUCUCAUGGCUUGCCAUGAUGAGCUUGGACUUUGGGGGUCUUGUCGGCCUGCGGUCGGCUCCUCUCAAAUGGAUCGGCUUGCCAGUGUUUGGUGGCGUCACAGGUGUGAUAACUAUCUGCGCUUGUGGUUUCCCAUCAGAUAACCUUCAGAGAUGGGGGUUCACUGGGGCUUACAAAAGGUCUCUCCUCGGUGAGGACAGCUCUUUGAAUGUUUGAUCUCAAAUCAGGUAGGACUACCCGCUGAACUUAAG
rnacentral:misc_RNA from 1 species